rnacentral:lncRNA from 1 species
GAAGGGCAGUCCUGCAUCUAAAGCCACUACAAUGAGCGAAAAUGAUUUCAAGCACACAAAAUCCUUUAUAAUUUAAAAGAAUUCCACUUCUGAGAUGCACCAAAACCACAGUUGUCACACAAGUUAUUAAACUAUUGUAAACCUCUGCUUUGUCUUACAUUUGCAAAGAGACGGACGAAGAAACGAGAGUGGGAACUCAUCAUAACUGUUAUGACCUCUAACUCACAAGAAAUAUUUUAAGCAAAGUGUUCUUGCCAUCACUAAAAUACAAUUUGGGAUCUUAUGUCUGACCUAAAGUGAAAUGUCUGAGGUUUUGAAAUGCAAAUGAAUGUUAAUUUUGGAGUUGACUAGAUCAUACUGACUGUAAAGCUAACCCAAGAGGCAGGAAUAUACUGUAUGUGCUCUGGUGAGAAUGGCUUACAUGUUCAGGAAAUACUCUAACGAAUGGAAACCCUGUUCGCAAAAUUCCUACCAGAAUCCUCUUCUUACCUCUAAAUAAUCCGGGUUCCUUUGCCCUGUGUCUCUGUAUCCCGUAGGGGAAUCCCAGGGCUGGGCCUUCCGUCUAAGGGUUUGCACUUUAUAUUUUCUUUCACUUCUCAGAACCAAAAGCAACAUGAAGGGAGCUGCUGCCGCCAAUUCCUGAGACUCUUGGAGGGGCUCAGUGACCUGGACAUCAGAAUGCACUACUAGAACCUACACAGCUCCAGAUCCUUUCUGUGCUUAAGUGGUGACCUUUUAUCUGUCUCUAAAAGCAAUUCUGAACUGGGCUAGCUCCUCCCUGGUGAAGAUACAGGGUUCCCAGCCUGCUUAGGAUGAACAGGAGCACAGGGGAGAGAAACAUUUGCCCCAUGAGUAAGAGGUGGAUGAACAAGCUCACUUUGACUCUUGAUCCAGUCAAGGCACAGGAGAAACCGUGGCUGAAAUGAGACAGGGGUCUAAUGUCUUCUGAACUGGUUAUCCACAGAGGCCACCAACCAGCUAGUGUCAGAUUAGAUUCCCAGGGCUCAACAGAAAACCGGUCCUGCUGGGGGCUGGUUUACCCCUAUUUAAAAUAAAAAAAAUGCAACUGAGGAUGUCUAGCUCUGGGUAAAUAUGCACGAAAGGUCACUUACUUCCUUUACCGGCUUUGAACAUGGUCACGUUGGCUUUCUACCCAAAGGGCAAAGCAAAGUCUCAGGAUUCUCAUCAAAAGCAAACGGGGUGAGUGGCCAGUGAGUACCUGGUAGUGAUCUGGUCACCGGGGUGAUGCCUACUGCCAUACUGCUCCCCUUUAACUUUGUGGCCUUGAAUCUUUCCUAAUCAGUAGACACCUUCCCAAAGGGCUGACUUCUGUAAAGUGGCUCGGCCCUCAAGGUCAGAUCCACACUUAACUGAGCCAGCAAUCUACAAAGAACACCACAGUACAUAAUUCAGCCCACAGGGUUCUUGUUACAACCACUCAUCUCUGUCACAACGUACAGUACAAGUGUGUCAGCGGUAUAGGAUUUGCCCACAGAUCCAAGCUCCUCUCUCCUGGUAGCAAAUGACAAAGAAACACUGUGGUGUACAAGAAAUCAGGGUAAAUGUUGCCUGUGCCGUGACUAAGAGAUUUGCUUUGGUAGGAGGAGGCUGUCCUGCAGUGCCAAGCAGACGUACAACUCUCAAGGAUGUCUCUUCAGGCCCACAUAGCAUCACAAGACCAACUGCGUCAAUUUAAAUAACACAAAUCCACAUUGCGAGAGGACAAUUACGUAGUGCCUUACCUUCACUAAUAGAAGAAAAGCUUCCUUUUAAGACACUGAAGCCUAAAGGUUCAUUUUAAGCAGUGUAGACACCUAACAAAGUCUGUGCCAAACACCUAUUAUACAUCCUUAACUACUGUAUACAGCUAAGCACAAGUCGCUGUGUAGAGAAUGCGCUCUUCUGCAUAAAGGACCUGACUGUGCACACUAAUCUCCUAGUUAUUAAGUCUAUCGGGAGUCACUGCCAUGAAGACUUGUCCCUUUGCUGUUUUCUGAGACUUGAACUCUAACAUUGUGUCAAAAUUGAAUUGUAGUUUCUAGAACAUGUUGAUUUUAUUUUUCCACAGUGAAAGUUUGAUAAGGGUCUAGAAAUUAUGAGAGCAAGUUUUAGUAUCGUCGCUGUUGUAACUAGAUUCAACUUAUUUUUAGUCAGGGUAGGGGUUAACAGCUAAGUCUGGAUGUUUAUUUUUCAAUACAACUUUACAAAGAACUUCCUUCAUUCUACAACUCACUUUGUUUGAUUAAAGUUCAUGCUACAAAAAUAGCUAUGCACAGCUCAAGGUUUUAGUCCCCUUCAACAGAGGGGGGAAGUCACUCACCUAUUGUUCAGUAAAACCCAGGAAACUCCUCCCUCCCUCACACCUGCACUUGUGAGGCAGCUCCAGCAGUUUCAAAUCAAGGUCUCUCUGGUCUCUCAGCUUGGACACCUGCCAACUUGUGUUUUGUGUGUGUCAGAGGUUGAGGAUAAGGGAGUGCAGGCCACUGUGAAGAGGAGCCUGUCGUUCUACAGUGGGUGACUGCUCGGCUUGGGUUUGCAGUGCAGUUACGGAGGAGCUGGGGUCUUUAUGAAUACAGCCACCUGAUCCACAGCUCACACAUUUUCUUCAUUUUAAAUUUUCCAGUUCUCUACAUUCUCUUCAUCCUCAGUAACCCUGGCUCACCCACCCACCUACCCCGGCCCCAAACUUAUCUUUGUAAAACUUUAACAUUUAAAAACAAAAGGAUACAACAACUUUAUACACAACCAAUCCAGAACCUGCUCUCUUUUGUUGCCUUAUUAUUCACCAAACUGAACUGUUUGUUUUUACAAUUUAGUCUGCCCUUUCCGAUACAUUUGUAUUACAUUCCUUAGAUCGUUAGUCCUCACCACAAGCUAUGGAAAUCCUAUUUACUCCUGACAAGUCAAAUUCAGCUCUCGUGGGACAGCGUUCUCCCAUUUCCUAGCAGUGAGUUUUGUCUCUCAAGUCCAAUGGUAUUUGGUUCUUUUGUGAUAUUUAUUGAUUUCUGUGUUACAGUACAGGGAGGUAUGUAUGUGUGACAUCUCCACCAACCUGAAACCCUGAAAAAGACCCAUGUUGUACAGGUCUUCAUAAACCCUAAGGUGUUUAAUGGCAUCUGACAUGAAAAAAGUUUCUAAAAACGCUGAAUACCUGUGAAGCAUAAAGAAUGAUUAAAUGUAAGCAUCUACUUAGAAUAUUAAUAAAACAUUGUAUUCUGAUAC